UCAAUUCCUGCAUGUCUAUCGGUAGGGGC
rnacentral:sRNA from 1 species